CUUGGCAGAGCCUCCCCCGCCCGCAGGGUGAGGCCCCGGGCAGGACGCGGCGUCAGCCCCACGCACAAACGCGAACUGUUCGCCCGCGCAGCUGGCGCGCUCUCAGCGGUCCCCGCGGCUCCCCGCGGCUCCCCGCUGCUCCCCGCUGCUCCCAGCCGCGGGGGCGGAGCCCGCGGGGGCCACGCCCCAGAUGAAUAUUCAAGCAGGCCCCGCCCGCGAGCCCGAGCCCGGGACCCGGGCGCCCCUGGAGGGGUUGGGGGGAGGAAGGGCCUGCCCCGGAGGGCAGCGAGGGAGGGAACGGCCGGGGACCCGGGCGCGGGGCGGCUGGCGCGGGCGAGGUCGGGCGAGGUCGGGCUGGGGAGGGCCUGGGUGCACCUUGCGGCCCCGCCCGACCCACGGGCACCAACCACGGGCACCAACCACGGGCACCAACCACGGGCACCCGAGCGCUCUUCCUAGCCCUGGGAACCGUGCACACCAAGAGAGGGCUUCGGCUGUGUUCACUGCUACUUCGUUAACAACGUGCCUCUCUGCAAACGGACCGGUUCCUAAAGAAAGAUUUUUCAUUGGCCCAGCGUGGGUCAGGGGAGCUUCCUCAAUCAAAGGAAUGUUGGUCCCUGGGGAGAAAUGCAGAACAAGUAUUGGAUGA
rnacentral:lncRNA from 1 species